GGAUAAGGAAAUUGAUGGCAGCUUGAGUGACACGUCCAUCCAAGGGGUAUUGAUUUAAGGGAUAGUCUUAGAGAUUCUUCAGGAAAGUUACAGUAGAAUUUAAUAAUCUAAAAUAAUGACUUUGCGGAGUUCCCACUGGGGUGCAGUGGGUUAAAGAUCUAACUGUGAUGGCUUCGGUUGCUGUGGAGGCACGGGUUCAGCUCUCUGCCUGGCCCAGUGGGUCAGAGGAUCUGGUGCUGCUGUAGCUGUGGUGUGGUCACAGCUGUGGCUCGGAUUCAGUCCCUGGCCUGGGAACUUCCAUGUGCUGCAGCUGCAGCCAUAAAAUAUUUUUUUUUUAAUUAAAAAAACAUAAUGACUCUGCUAUAAAUUGAAUCUUGUGCAGCCUCAAACACAAAGACAUUUCCUGAAGGUUUCCUGGUUUUAUUGGAUAUCGAGUUUAAAAUAAAUCCCAAAGAUAAAAUAAGCUGACCUCUUCUCAGGUUAUUCUGAGGCAGAGAAUUGCCAUCUUUGGACAGAGCAGCUUCUUCGUGUGCCCCAAAAAGAAACCCGUCCUCUCGUAACUUCCUUCGUGUGUCCUAAUUGUAUCCCACUGGGCCACACAGACCUUGGCUGGCUUCUGCUGUGUUGCCAGGCACCCCGGUACGCCUGGCACUUCUCUUUCGCAGCCCCGCACCCCCACCCUGCCCACUCUUUGUGGGAUUUGAUUUCCCAUCCCUUCGCCAAUCUGACAACCAUCCCUUUCCAGUGGCCCAGGGCUCACAUAGAGUGAAUAACCAGGAAAUUGCCUCUACGGGUCUUCAGCUCUUCCUAAGAAGGACGCCCCUGUUCCGCCACUUACGUCUCUCUGGAAUCCAGAGAAUAGAAAUUGAACAGAAUGGGGGUGGUGCAGGGGGAGGAGGUGUAUUUAGGAUCCAACAUAUUGGUGGGAAGAUGUUAAGGGGAAGGGGAGUGGGUGCUUCUCCAGGGAGAGGUUGGUUUAGCUGAAGCCAAGUCUGUUGUCUUUUCCAGAAAGUGCCUUGUUUGUGGAACCCCACGAUAUGCAUGUGCUGAGGACACAUGCAAGUGCUGACAGGGUGAUUGUGGAUGAUUUGCACAACCCUGCAAGCAAACAUCUCUGUCUUGGCUUAGUAAAUGAGGAAAUAAAGGCCCAGAAAUUCUAGAUGCAUUGUCCAAAGUCACAUGGUUGCAAGGAGCAGCUUUGACAUUAAAACCAAAAUCUGUCUGACUUCAGAGUCUCUGUUAGACUUGACCUGGGUACUUGGCAGUGUAGUCAGACCACAGGCUUGGAGCCCCUUGGAUGUGUUCUUUGCUCUGUGGUUCUUUAAGAUGUGUUAUUCUGGAGUUCCCGUCAUGGCUCAGUGGUUAACAAAUCCGACUAGGAACCGUGAGGUUGUGGGUUUGAUCCCUGGCCUCGUUCAGUGGGUUAAGGAUCCGGUGUUGCCAUGAGCAACGUGUAAGUUACAGACAUGGCCGGGUCCUGGGUUGCUGUGGCUUGUGGUGUAGGCUGGCGGCCAAAGGUCCUAUUACACUCCUAGCUUGGGAACCUCCAUAUGCCACGGGUGUGGCCCUAGAAAAGACAAAAAAAAAAAAAAAAAAAAAAAAAAAAAAANAAAAAAAAAAGAUGUGUUAUUCCUAACACAUUUCACUAUAGUAUACUUUUUAUUAUGGUACUGAACUAGUCCAAUGCUUUAUUUUCUUAAAUAUUUCGUUAUGUUUUAUUCUUCUGGUAAGUACCUUCUUGCGUCUGACACUACUCAAGGCUCUGUAGAAGGUACUAAGAUGGGAAAAACGCAAUCCCUGACCCUAAGAUGUUGAUGGGAUUGCGGAACGAUAUUCCACAUAAUUACAUAAGGCAAAAUAUGACAGACGAUCUCGCGUAGGGCAUUCCUAAAUUCCUUUGUCUCUAGAUCCCUGUGGAGGUGGGGAGGGCAGAAUCGUGGGAAGACCUUGUCAUUCUUCAUGAAAAAGCUGGAAUGUGAGCUGAGUCUCAAAGAGCAAGUGAGUCAGACUGUCUACGGGAGGACACCUGCAUAUCCAGAGAACAGCAUAUGCCGUGGGUAGAGUCAGGGGCAUCUAGUGAUUUAGUUUAGAGGGAGAAAAGCACACAUUUUAGAGAUCAAGACGGAAAAGGAGAGCCAGGGCCAUAUUGACAAAGGUUUGACUAUUAUUUUGCACCUAGGUAAUAGGGAGUCAUACAGAAUUUACUUUUUUUUUUUUAAGAGAAGUAAUGAUUUUUUGUAUACAUAGGAAGCUUAUGGCUUGGGCUGUAUGGGUUUUUUGUGUUUAAGAGAAACUACAUUUGUAAUUAUCAUAAGCAUUUUUGCCAUUUGACACUAUGCAAAAAUUAUUUAACAUGUAAGAAUAAGCAAUAUGCUCUGACCUGUUUGGAAUUGGUGGAUUUUUUGCCCCAUCGAUUCCUUAAAAGUUUUCUUGUGAUCGGAGAUGUUAUUUGCUGUAUCUUCAGGUGAUUAUUCUCGAAGAGGAGCACGAUUUACAGAGUUAUUAGUGAUAUGAAAUAAAAUGGGUAGGGCCAAAUUAGUUCUGAGUCCCCUGUUAAGCGAAAUAUACUUUUAUAUUUUAAAAUUGUAGGUUCAAACUAGCAAACGUACAAAUGAGUAAACCACGAAAGGUUGUAGCAGAGGAAAAAUAAUUGACUCAACUAAGAUUUGCUAAAAUCUUUAUUCCACUUUGCAUGACUACUCUAGGAGAAUAGCUGUAACUCAUGUUGAGUCAAGAAGACUGCACCACAUUGUCACACUGGUCCUUUGCUGUCCCCUUGACAUCCCUCGGGACUGGUAACAUGGUUGUUGCUUGACUCAAAGCUGUCAAAUAUUAAUGGCAAGAUAAAUUGAUGGGUAAAAUGUUGCCCACAGGCUUUUGGGCAAAAAGUCCCCAUUCUAUUCUAUUUUUGUACCUUCCGAAUUCUAAUUUCUGCCACACCCUUUGUCUGUUUAGAUCCAUUUAUUACCCAAACUCACUUUUGUGAUUGCUUUUCUGGUAAGAGGAUGAAAAAAAAAUUUCCCAUUAAUGGAUUUUUAUUUAAACCCCGUAAAAGAUAAGAAUUUAAAAUAAGCUAGAUUUAUAUUGAAUUUGCUGAUAGGAAAUGGCUUCCUGAGAUUACUAGCCGCUUUUUUUUCGGAUAACCGAAACUAUUCGGAUAACCAAAACUAAAACAUAGACUUUAUGACAUACUUCUUCAAUAAUCCCAUGCAAUGCCUAUCAAAUACUCACAAUCUCUGUUAAAAGGAAGGCUUGAAAUUGAAGCAUUGAAAACUCUGGGCUUGGAGUUCCCAUCGUGGCUCAGGGGUUAAGGAAUCUGACUGGCAUCCAUGAGAAUGCGGAUUUGAUCCCCGGCCUCACUCAGUGGGUUAAGGAUCCAGUGUUCCCAUGAGCUGUGGUGUAGGUUGUAGACAUAGCUUGGACCCCAUGCUGCUGUGGCUGUGGUGUAGGCCAGCGACUAUAGCUCCGUUAGACCCCUAGUCUGAGAACCUCCAUACGCUGCGGGUGUGGCCCUAAAAAGACAAAAAACAAAAACAAAAAAAAAAACCCUCUGGGCUUUACCAGUUCUGCUUUUGCAGUUAACCAGCUCAGUAACUCUCUGCUUGCUGCCUGGCUGUAGGGAGAUAAAUGGGCUGUGUUCGAAGGUGCUGUUAGUGCUGGGUGCCCAGCUGGAUGAAUCUUUUUUGGGACAGUGCCCCCCUACCCACCCAGGCGCCAGGCCUAAUGUGGAUGUAGGGUAAGGAGGGCAUGCCUGCAUGUCUCCCUAAAGUUUGCAGUCUCCCCCUGUCCCCCUAGAGUUUACCAGAACUGCAAGAGGAGGAAGCCUGGGCAUUGUGUGUUUGGAAAGAGCGCCUCUGUUCUCUCGGAUACAGUCCGCUCCUCCUUCCUCCCUAAACCAUAAUAGCCCUCUGAGAGGAUGCUUUGGUCCUCUUCAAGUCUGAUCUUGAUCUUGCUUGUCCUAGAACCCAGUCAGCAACCAGUCAGGCCUCUUCUUGGCUAUCCUGUUUGUAUUUACUCAGGGAGUGAAGCCAUAAAACAAUUCAGAUAAGAUAACCUAUUAAAGUGUUCCUGCAUUUCUGUGAUACUGUAUCACUGAUCAUUUCAAUUUUAGAAUAUUUGACACAUUGUAAAUCGUCAUCGAUGUGGAAGUGACCUUUUUAACCCACUACAAUGUAAGAUGCCUCAAGGUACAGAUCAUACAUACGCUUCUCUGUUUUUAUGGUCUAGCGCAGAGCCUUAGCAUAGCAGUUAUUUAAAAGUUGCUGUGAUUUUUCUUGUUGACACCGAUGUUAUUUCAUUCUCUGUUGCCUGCCUUUGGCCCUCCGUUUGAGGCAUCUGUAUCUAAUGUGGUACAUGGGUGGUUGGAGUUAGAGAGUCUUGAAAACCAGCUAGACUCAUUAUCUGUAGGUUCUUAAGGUCAAGGGUUAAAGUGGAACAUUUUAAAUUUUUUGUGACACAUGUUUAAGAUAGGUGACCAGUCAAAUUAUUUUAUGUAUUAUUCCUAAAUAAAGUAGCACAUACAAACCCAAGGUAGGAGUCUGCCUCUUUUAUUCAGGGUGGUCAUCUCUUGACUCUAAUUGAUGUAAUAGCUCCAUCAUCCUAGUUGAUGGUGGUUGAGCUCCAUGUGGCAUAAAGGGAAUUUCUUCCAGACAAUAAGUCUGACCUAAAAAAAAACCAUUUCUGUGAUAACUAAUGGCAACCCUGGUAUCUUAGCAUCUUACACAUCGAGUGGGAGAGGUGUUCUAAUCUCUCACAGCAAUAUUGCCACAGCAGAUCCUGUAUGAGAGAGGAUGUGGGAAGGGAAAAAAAGAAGAAGAUAUUCAAUAUGAGGAACUUACCCAAGAGAGUAAGUUCCUUCUAGGUUCCUUUCUGCCCGAGCAUCUUACCCCUUAAAAGUAACACUAGUUGCUACCUUUUUCAUUAUCCCACAGGCGUCCUCUACUUUUCUGCCAGUCAUUUUUUGGUGUAACUGAAUUAGAUUUUCUCUAAUCCCAGUCUUUUGAAAUGCUUCUUCUUUUUGAUGAUAUCUAUCCCACAGUGACAGUUUGGAAUAACCUAUCUAGAAAGAGGUGGCUAGGUCAUUAAAUACAGCUUAUUCAAUGGAACCUUGGACAGCCUUUAGAAUAAUAGUGCAGGAGUUCUGGCAAAGGAUUGUGAGGAAGGAUUUUUCAUGGCAUAUCUCUCCCUGAAACAAAAAAAAUAACAAAAAAAA
rnacentral:lncRNA from 1 species